AUUAACACCCAGCAAUGAGGAGAGGAGUGAGGCCUGGGGAAGACAGCCACCAUCAAGUGCACAAAGCUUGAAGGAGGACGUUUGUGGGAAGUAGACAUUUGUGAAUGUGGAUUUAGAAGAUUUUUCCCUGUGAUGGGCUGAGUCAUGGGUGAGAGCUGGAGAAAACAGAGCAUCACAGGCAGCCCAGGGGCUGAGCAGGUCCUCCUACCUGAUCCAUCCCUGUCUGCAAACUCUCCUGUCACAAGUGAGUGGCUCACAGCCUCCAGAAAACACCAGUCAGUUACACUGUGAUGUGCAGUCUGGCCAGGGCUCAGUGGAGAAGCCCACACUCGUUUAUCCAUCACUGAAUGUUGGUUGUGCCUCAGGAAAUAGUCUGGUUGCCAGAUACAGACUGGCCAAGAAAAUGGGCGUGAUUAGUCCUCUUUUGGUUGGUAUAAUGUGAAGAUGGUUAUGUGAGCUAAUGUGUGCUGAGCAAACGGAGGAUUUGGAUUCUUUUGCUUUGUCGGUCAAUCCUCUUCUCCCAUCAAAUCAAUGUGGAAAUCCACAGAGUCCCAGUGGCCUUCUUCGGUAAAGCCCUU
rnacentral:sRNA from 1 species